rnacentral:rRNA from 1 species
AACGAACGCUGGCGGCAUGCCUAACACAUGCAAGUCGAACGAGAUCUUCAGGUCUGGUGGCGCACGGGUGCGUAACGCGUGGGAAUCUGCCCUUUGGUUCGGAAUAACAGUUGGAAACGACUGCUAAUACCGGAUGAUGACGAAAGUCCAAAGAUUUAUCGCCAGAGGAUGAGCCCGCGUAGGAUUAGCUAGUUGGUGUGGUAAAGGCGCACCAAGGCGACGAUCCUUAGCUGGUCUGAGAGGAUGAUCAGCCACACUGGGACUGAGACACGGCCCAGACUCCUACGGGAGGCAGCAGUGGGGAAUAUUGGACAAUGGGCGAAAGCCUGAUCCAGCAAUGCCGCGUGAGUGAUGAAGGCCUUAGGGUUGUAAAGCUCUUUUACCCGGGAUGAUAAUGACAGUACCGGGAGAAUAAGCUCCGGCUAACUCCGUGCCAGCCGCCGCGGUAA